rnacentral:rRNA from 1 species
GAGGAGCUUGCUUCUCCGGAUGAGUUGCGAACGGGUGAGUAACGCGUAGGUAACCUGCCUGGUAGCGGGGGAUAACUAUUGGAAACGAUAGCUAAUACCGCAUAAGAGUAGAUGUUGCAUGACAUUUGCUUAAAAGGUGCAAUUGCAUCACUACCAGAUGGACCUGCGUUGUAUUAGCUAGUUGGUGGGGUAACGGCUCACCAAGGCGACGAUACAUAGCCGACCUGAGAGGGUGAUCGGCCACACUGGGACUGAGACACGGCCCAGACUCCUACGGGAGGCAGCAGUAGGGAAUCUUCGGCAAUGGACGGAAGUCUGACCGAGCAACGCCGCGUGAGUGAAGGAGGUUUUCGGAUCGUAAAGCUCUGUUGUAAGAGAAGAACGAGUGUGAGAGUGGAAAGUUCACACUGUGACGGUAUCUUACCAGAAAGGGACGGCUAACUACGUGCCAGCAGCCGCGGUAAUACGUAGGUCCCGAGCGUUGUCCGGAUUUAUUGGGCGUAAAGCGAGCGCAGGCGGUUAGAUAAGUCUGAAGUUAAAGGCUGUGGCUUAACCAUAGUACGCUUUGGAAACUGUUUAACUUGAGUGCAAGAGGGGAGAGUGGAACUCCAUGUGUAGCGGUGAAAUGCGUAGAUAUAUGGAGGAACACCGGUGGCGAAAGCGGCUCUCUGGCUUGUAACUGACGCUGAGGCUCGAAAGCGUGGGAAGCAAACAGGAUUAGAUACCCUGGUAGUCCACGCCGUAAACGAUGAGUGCUAGGUGUUAGACCCUUUCCNGGGGUUUAGUGCCGUAGCUAACGCAUUAAGCACUCCGCCUGGGGAGUACGA